CCCUCCCCAACCGCGACAGCCCAGCCUCCGCCGCCGCGGGUCGGAAACCUGGAGCCCAGCGGUGAAGUCCCCGGGCCGGGCGUGACUCAGACCUGAACCCGCGCGUGUGGGACCCGGGCGGUGGUGGAGGAAGUGAAGUUUCCCGCCCAACCCUUCGGAAAGGCCGCCGGGGGCCGAGGGAGUUGGGGGGGUGCCGCUCGGGGGGCUGCCGCUCGGGGGGCUCGCCCCGGCGGCCCAUGGUGAGGCCAGCACCCUUGCCCGGCGAAUCCAGCGUUCCCUGCCUGCAGCCUUCUCGAAUGAAUGUAUUUUAACAGAAAUCUACAAAAGUCAACGGUGUGUGUUUAAAUCCUGAGAGGGCCGCCCCCAGGGUCCCCGGUUUUGCCUUUGUCCCCACGCCUGCAAGCUGGGGCAAAGUCUCGCUGCUCCGGGAGCAUUAGCCUCCGCUGCCCGCACUGCCCUUUAAGAGGAAACCCCAGCACCUGUGCUCCCAGCCGGAGACCGUCUCUCUGAGAGUGUGAGGCAACCUCGCUGUCCUGCCUGUAAGAGGAGGCUGUUCGGAGAAAGUGGGAGCACGGUCUCUGCCAAGAUCCCCGCCCGAGGAAAGGACGGUGAGCUGGUCUGCAGAGCCGGCCUCCGUGCGGAGCCUGCUGGGGGCUGACCGGAGAUGCCUUUGGGAGAUCGUGAGCUCCCCAUCCUGGGAGUGUGUGAACAGGGCUGGCCGAUGCUGUGAGAGUGGUGCCGUGAACGCACCUCAGAUGGCAGAAGCAGCAUGGGACUCACUGUUUCCAAGUUCAUUUUGGAUUCUACGCCUUGAAACUGUUACAUACACAUGAUCUUCCUUUGGACGACUCGUGUAUUUCACUGAAAGAGUGAGUUUCCUUUUAAAAAGGCCAAUCCGUAUCUUUGUCGUAGAGCACGGACGCAGAUAAGAGAACACGGAAAGUGGGGUUACGUUCUAGACAGAUGCUACUGUCCGCUGAGCGCUCCGGCCACAGACCCUCUUGCCUGAAAAAGGGCUGGUGUCAGACAGGUGUCCAGAAGGGCUGUCGCUGACGAGGGGAGCCCGUCUCCUGGACGUGUGGGAUGUGUGGGACGAUCGGCAGGUGGGACAAGGAAGGGGAGAGAAGCCGGCUCCCGCUGUGACUCACUGUUGUCCCCGUGCUUGUUCAGGCACUGUCUCCAUCACCCGCCCCAGGGAAACACUGUCCCCGAGGCCCCCCGGGGAGCCUGGGCUCCUGGCCCUCCGCGUGGGCCCCACCAAACCCAGGGUCACAUUGGACAGUCUCCUCACUGGGGACCCUCCUCCAGGACUCGUCCACAGGUGCAAUUUGAAAGGUAAAUCAGGAAGGAACGUUUCAGGCACAUUAAUGCAAAACUCGGGCCUUUGGUUCUCCAAUGUUAAGCCGGUGCCUUGGUACCUCGGGAGGCCCCUGGGAGCACCUGUGUGCCCAAGACCACGCCCUAUGUGGCCUGCCCAAGGGGGCAGCCAGGUGCCUCCGGGCAGGUGUCACGGGGCCGAAAGUGCUGGCCCACGCUCCGGGCCACUGGUGCCGUGGGACUGGGCGGCGGCCUGCUCUCCAAAAGCCACCCCUGUCCUUCAGCGUGUGGGGGACGGAUUAGGAGAGCAGGGACGAGGCCUUCGAGAGGUCACUCACAGAGCACAGCAGCCUUUGAGAAUAAGCCAACCUGAUAAAGUGCCCUGGAACAUUCUGAACUCAGUUCUAUUCUGGGUGGGGCGGGGGGUGGCAGGGAGGUUUGUCUGGAGAGGAAGUAAUUAGAAGGAAAAGAAAAAAAGUGCCCAAGUUGCACCGGCCCCCCUGUGGUCCCAUGGAGGCCGUGCCACCGCCUGUCAGAGCCUCUCUAGGAGACUCACAACAGGCAUGUUACAUUUUUACGGUCGAUCACCACCGUCUGGUGUCACCUCCGGAGGCACCCCAGGAAACCGAGGUGUGUAAGCUCCUGCCGACCGGCACACCCUCUCUCCGUGUUCGCCCGCUGGAUUUACGCACAUCUCACAUCUCCUCGUACGAUCAGAAGCAAAGAGAGAGGGAGAAGCAUUCCCCGCGUCUCAAGACAAGUUAAUGGUCAAACCAGAAGUGCCCCUGACGCUCCACAGGCAGCAGAUGGGGCGUCGUGUUCUUUUCAGGAGCCGCUCCUAACUGAACAGGUCACUGCUCAGAGAAGCUGCUGUGACACUUUAGUUUCUGGUGGAGAAAGGAGUCCAGGCUUUCCUGCCCGACUAGACGGCCGUGUGAUCUGAGGACGUCACUUGAGGACACCCAGGGCACCAAAGUCCCAGGAAAGUCCGACUCAGCAGAGACGGGGGAAGGCCCCUCUCUCUGCAGCUCCACGGCACAGGUACUCCGGGACCCGCCGAAUGGCAGGUGCCAGGCUCCCGCGACCCGCGGGGUCCAGCCCUUGUCGAGACCCAGGGCCUCGGCCGCCCGGCACUUCCCUGGAAGGAUCACUUGACUUUCAUUGGGAUCCACUUGUGCGGUCCUUCUCCGUUCGCUUCCACAGAGGCAAAUGUCUGCCAGCGGGAGGGCUUCUGGAACUGCCCAGGCCUGCUCAGGGCCUGCCCUGUCGGACUGGGGUGGAGGUGGGGUCAGAAGGUCUGUUUGGCAGAGACCUCACAUUCCAGAAUGACCUCAUGGUAGGUGAGUUGUUAUUUCAGCCUCACCGAUCCGCACGCGAGGCCUUGGGGAGUCCAGCCUUCCCGCUCGCUGUCGUGCCCAUCCAGGUAACGCGCGUCAUUUGUGAAUCCUGUUAAUUGGCCUGACUAGGAAGACGGUAUUGCAUCGAGGGUGUUUUUGUGUCGGAAACACUUAAAGCAAACAUUCAAAUUAUCAACAAUUAUUUGUAGGCCUGCUUGGGCAUUUCUUCAUGUUUGAUUUUGUUGGAAACCUCAGCAAAUGGAGUGGGUGGGACCUUUCCCGCCACCGAGGCACUGCCCGGGGCAUCUCUGCCUCUACGGCCACAGGAGGGGACGACACAGGAUGCAGGGGGCCGGGGCCUCUGCUUCUCCGUGGGGCUGGGUGGUCUGCCCCGUGCCCUUCCGGCCCCAGCCCUCCCUUGUCCAGUGUCCUUGUCCUGUCUCCCGCCCGCCUGGGCCGCAGCUCACACCCCACAGCCCAGGCCGACCUGCCGCCUGCCCUCUCACUCCAGCCAGGACCCUCCUGCACCACAAACACCUCAUGGGUCGUCCCGUCUCCGUGCCUUACACUUGCGGUGUUCUUGUUUCUGGAAGUUUCCUUCCUCGCUGACUGUGGACACCUCUAUCCCACCCCCUCCAGGUCCUCAAGGACCAUGUCUCUCUCCGCACUCCUGGAAGCCAGAUCUCCAGGCUCUGUAGGUCUUUGUUCAUGGGUGUAGGCCUCACCCUGGUACCUGCCAGGCUGCAUGCUCCCUGCAGAACCUUCCAGAAAUCUGGCCAUCCGGCAUCGACACUCAGGCUGCCAGUGAGGCACUGAUAGUGUGAGGAAGGGGGGACACAUGUUCAUGAGACAUGAUCGCAAGGGGGCUGCCUCAGUUUCCCCAGCUGUGGGAGGCAUCCUGGACAUCCACAGCCUAGUGCCGGCCCCAGGGUCCCCUCUGCUUGGCAUGGCUUCAUCAUGGUCCCAGAACUGCUACCUGGGCUGACCCCUUCAAGCCCAGUGGUUUUGACCUUCUCAACCUCCAUCCAGGACAACAUGGCUCCUACCCAGCAGACAAGCUGCAGGGCCUGAGAGCCCCCUUCCCCGGAGUCAGCUACCAGACCUCCCCCCCACCAACCCCUGUCCUGGAAAUAAGGGACAAAUUCCCAACUGAGAAACAGACCUCCAGGGGCUUCUGGCUUAGUGAUGGGACAGCAACAAGGUGGAGACCAGCUGCACGGCAGUUCUCAGUAAGUGCUGGGGGGCUGCUAGGAGGGAGAGGCCACGUCGGGAGGCCUACCGGCCAGUGUGAAACGGCUCUGGAGCGGCUGGGGAGGGCAAAGCUGGCAGGUGCAGCGGGAGAGCCAGGCUGUCCGCAGGCAGCUGACCUCGGGCACCGUGCACUGGCGUCGGGUGGGCCUGGUGCGGGAAGGACAGACGGCUGUAGUCACAGAGGAGGGGCCGAGAUUUGCAAGGACACAGGACGCUGAGUCUGGAGCCUGCCGGGCACGAGUCAGGUGGAGCCGUCACUGCAGGCAGGGAGACCGCCCUGAGGGGGUUCCUGGGGCCCAGGGAGACCCUCGUGGGAGGACUGAGACUUUGGGACUUCGCCCGAGGGGGGUAUGUCCCUGCAGAGCCUGGCUUGGGGGGCCAAGGGACCGGGCCCUCUCCAGGCUCCCCGGCUGUGAGCAGAGAGCUGCCCGCAGAGGCCCCUGGAAGGACCACUGGGGGGAGGCCAGGAGCGAGCCCUCUGGUCCCCCAGCUUCCUUCUCCGGAGCCCUGGUGGCCACCAGGACCCCGACAGCUUGCCGACCCACGCUGCCCCGGGAGGGGGGGCCGGGGGGCUGGGUGAGCUCGGGUGAGUUCUCCCAACACCCGAGACUGCUCAAUGGUGAGAUCUUUCCCAAAGUCUCCACGGUUCGGUGGCCUGUGGCCAGCAUCCUGCAGGACUGGUGGGCACCUUCCCCAUCCCGGGGUUGAAAUGCGAUUCUCCCGCUCGCCCAGAGGCCUGAAUGUUCUCUCAACCUCAGGAACACGGAGACCCAGAGGGGAUUUGGAGAGCUGGCUUAAUUUCCGGAUCCCAGAUGGCUCGCCCCGUCACAGGAAGUGGGUGGCUCGGCAAGGCCCCCCGAGGCCCCCUGCCUCCCUCACCCCGCCCCUCCCCUGGUGGUGCCUCCCCCCUCCUGCCUCCAGGCCUGCGGGACCCCUCCCUGCAGUUACACCUGAGGCUUCCCCGAAAUGCUUCCUGAAAACCCUCCCACAGACUCCUGGCUGGGCCGGGGGACCCGCGGAGGUCACCUCCGAACCCGGCCCCACAUCCUCCCGUGCAGACCCCGCCCCCGCCUCCUAAGACGACCUCAGCGCCCCCUCCUCACUUCUCCCCCCUCGCUGAUCACUGCCCCUCCCGGGAACGCAUCCCCCCUGCCCGCCAAGGCCUUACACGCCGGCCGUCCUUCUCUGCUCCCUCUGUCCCCUCACUCGUGAGGCAGGCUCGCCGUGGCCCAGGCCCCAAACCUGUGCCCGCAGCCGGUGUCCUCUGAGCUCUGCCUUCCAAGACCCAUGGCUGGCCUCCCCCGUGUCCCCCCGGGAGGGGUCCGUGUGGGUCUCUCCGGCUGACCCCCGACCACAGGCAUGGCCCAGGGCCUCCUCCUUGGGCCUCGACUGGCUCCCUCCCGGUGUCCUCGUCUUGCCCAGGGACCUGUCCAGACCGUUCGGGUUCUCCAGUCUCCCGUCACCGCUGCUUGCCACUGUCCCUGCCAGCCUCCCUGCCGUCAUUCCAGGGGCCGUGCUGGGCUCCAGUGCAGACAGCCCCCUGCACACCUCGGCGGUUCAGCCACCUCGUCCCCACCUUGUUCACGGUCACGUCCGUGCCCCUCCCCAGGGCCCCACCUCCAGGGCUCCCGGAGACCCCAGAGCCCUCGGCCAGGACGUCCCACACCCUCCGUUCGGCCCCGUUUAUCCCACCCGGGUCUUGCCUCCCUUCCUCCCUGCCAGGCUUUCUUCU